rnacentral:rRNA from 1 species
CGGUGACAAACCGGAGGAAGGUGGGGAUGACGUCAGGUCAUCAUGGCCCUUACGGGCAGGGCUACACACGUGCUACAAUGGGGCGUACAAAGGGCUGCAAACCUGCGAAGGGGAGCUAAUUUCCCAAAACGCGUUGUAGUUCGGAUUGGAGUUUGCAACUUGACUCCGUGAAGUUGGAAUCGCUUGUAAUCGUGGAUCAGAAUGUCCCGGUGAAUACGUUCCCGGGCCUUGUACACACCGCCCGUCACACCAUGGGAGUGGGUUGCACCAGAAGUGGUUAGUCUAACCUUCGGGAGGACG